AACGAACGCUGGCGGCAUGCCUAACACAUGCAAGUCGAACGAGACCUUCGGGUCUAGUGGCGCACGGGUGCGUAACGCGUGGGAACCUGCCCUUAGGUUCGGAAUAACUCCCCGAAAGGGGUGCUAAUACCGGAUAAUGUCUUCGGACCAAAGAUUUAUCGCCUUUGGAUGGGCCCGCGUUGGAUUAGCUAGUUGGUAGGGUAAAAGCCUACCAAGGCGACGAUCCAUAGCUGGUCGGAGAGGAUGAUCAGCCACACUGGGACUGAGACACGGCCCAGACUCCUACGGGAGGGAGCAGUGGGGAAUAUUGGACGAUGGGCGAAAGCCUGAUCCAGCCAUGCCGCGUGAGUGAUGAAGGCCUUAGGGUUGUAAAGCUCUUUUACCCGGGAUGAUAAUGACAGUACCGGGAGAAUAAGCUCCGGCUAACUCCGUG
rnacentral:rRNA from 1 species